rnacentral:RNase_P_RNA from 1 species
CGAGCAGCUCGGGUAGCCGCCGCGGCCGGAAUUGCCGCGGAGGAAAGUCCGGGCUCCGCAGGGCAGGAUGCCGGGUAACGCCCGGUCGGCGCGAGCCGAAGGAAAGUGCCACAGAAAACAGACAGCCCUCUUGAAGGGGGUAAUGGUGAAAAGGCAGGGUAAGAGCCUGCCGGAUGCGGUGUAAGCCGCAUGCCUGGCAAACCCCAUCCGGAGCAAGAUCGAAUAGGGGGGGAUGAGGCGGCCCGCCGACCCCCGGGUACGAUCGCUCGAGGGGCUCCGCGAGGAGCCUCCCAGAUAAAUGGUUACCGUAUACAGAACCCGGCUUAUGAGCUGCUCGCUUU